rnacentral:rRNA from 1 species
AACGAACGCUGGCGGCAUGCCUAACACAUGCAAGUCGAACGAACUCUUCGGAGUUAGUGGCGCACGGGUGCGUAACGCGUGGGAAUCUGCCCUUGGGUACGGAAUAACUCAGAGAAAUUUGUGCUAAUACCGUAUAAUGACUUCGGUCCAAAGAUUUAUCGCCCAAGGAUGAGCCCGCGUAAGAUUAGCUAGUUGGUGGGGUAAAAGCCUACCAAGGCGACGAUCUUUAGCUGGUCUGAGAGGAUGAUCAGCCACACUGGGACUGAGACACGGCCCAGACUCCUACGGGAGGCAGCAGUGGGGAAUAUUGGACAAUGGGCGAAAGCCUGAUCCAGCAAUGCCGCGUGAGUGAUGAAGGCCUUAGGGUUGUAAAGCUCUUUUACCCGGGAUGAUAAUGACAGUACCGGGAGAAUAAGCUCCGGCUAACUCCGUGCCAGCAGCCGCGG